rnacentral:rRNA from 1 species
AUGCUUGUCUCAAAGAUUAAGCCAUGCAUGUCUAAGUCCAAGCUGUGUUCACACGGCGAGACCGCGGACGGCUCAUUAAAUCAGUCGUGGUCCAAAUGGGCCAGUGCAAAUCCUACUUGGAUAACUGUGGUAAUUCCAGAGCUAAUACAUGCAACUGAUAUCCCGAAGGCGGUGUUGGGGCUUGCUUGCCUUGCGCUGCGCUGCUCUGACGGAUGCUUUUAUUAGACCAAGCCGCUGAGGACUUGAGGGUUCGCGCUCUCUUGUUUGACUCGUGUGAUGGUGACUCUGGAUAACCAAAUUCUGACAAGCGCACGUACUUCUCUUCUGAGCGAGACGGCGCUGCCACUUUCGAGUGUCUGCCUUAUCAGCUAUCAACCGUUCGUUAUGCGCGACCGAUGGCUUUGACGGGUAACGGGGAAUCAGGGUUCGAUUCCGGAGAGGCAGCCUGAGAGACGGCUACCACGUCCAAGGACGGCAGCAGGCACGCAAAUUACCCAAUCCCAGCAAAUGGGGGAGGUAGUGACGAAAUCUAACGAUGCGGGCGCCCUUUCUGGGGCCCCGCAAUCGGAAUGGGCACUUUCUAAACAACCUGUUGAGAACCUACUGAA